AAAUCGUCUCGUCCGAUCGUCCGGAGUGAUCGUCUAAGAGUGACAAUUUUGAUCCGAAUUGCAAAAUAGAAACGUGUGAAGAGAGUUAUUAGCAGAUUAACCAAGAGAAAAGACACAAAUCCGGAAAUAGGAAUCUCUUAUUGCCGUCGUAGAGUUUGUCCUUUAAAUUUGAAGAUGCGUUCGAGAGCUCGUAAACAAUGAUAGAUUCUUGAAACUAAGCAUGCGAUAAACAAGUGAAGUCGCACAACACGCAGAAUGAACAAUUAAUAAUAAAACAUGAUGGUUAUAAGACAUGAAUGCGUUGCGAGCCGAUGUGCGUUACAUAACAUAAAUUAUAUAUACAUCGCAGAAACGGCAUUAAGACGAAAAGGAGGGAGAAAUCGGACAAGAAUCGGCGGCAAGAACAGCAACAACAACAGCAACGGCAACUUGGCAGUAGCGAGUAAACGCAAAAGCACCCUUGCUCGGCCCCGCGCGCGAUGCAAAGACGGGGUAUAAAUAAGCGGCUGUCGUUUGCGGAAGCAGAAAACGGGCAAAAGGACAGAAAUAAAGAAGAACUCGAGGAAGAAAGGGAGCCAGCGAUGGAGAAAGGAAUAAAUAAGUCGGGGCGGAAAGAGAGAGAGAGAGAGGAGGGGGAGAAGGAGUAGAGUCGGCAGUACCGGCAGUGGGCCCAGCUCUCAAGUCCCUUGUCGCUUUGCUCGACCAACGUCCCGAUCUACUACUUUUGCGGUAUACGACCGUCCUUUCGCAUUGGAAGCUUUUAUUUUCGCCGUGUGCGAAAACGCGUCCGCCGAGCCGAACAAACACAGUCUGGCAGGUGUAUCCGCAUCUCGUUAUCUGGAGAACCACGUCUCUCGGAUUAUGGCUCGGUCUCGGAGAUUUGUUCGCUGAAAAUGAAAUGCAUUGUUGGAGGUUGAGACACCCUGUAUACGUGUACGCGAGCACAUAGUGUGCAUAUAUGCGGUGACUGCAAACAGAACCGCGUAGAACAGAACGGAGCGGAACCGAAUGAAACGGAACAGCGGCGAACGCAGCGUAGAAGCGCGAGUUGACUGCAGCAGCAGGGGCGCAGCAUGUUUAUUGGCGCAUCUCACAGUCUUAAAUCUUUAUGUUGUCUCCGCGACGGGGUCUGCUAUCCCCCUGUCCCAUUGGCGAGCUUCUUCCACACGCGGAGAAAGAGGGAGAAUCUGAGGCACCGGCUACGGAAAAGGGCAAGAAGGAACGCGAAUCGGCGGUCAGGAAGAGCGAGAAAGAGGCUCUCUCAGGACACAUCGGGAGAGAUAUAUCUUCUCGGGAGAGUUGUGGUCUCGCGAAAUCGAGUCAAGAGUCGGAUAAACCAACGACCAAGAGGCGCAUCCACCGCAUUACGCACACAGAAGCUGCGAUUUUAACGUGCCUCUAGAAAUGGCCGCAUGUCAUUCCGAGGAAUAUAUCCUGUCGGUGCUAAAAGCGCAAUAUAGGUAUAAAGACGCGUUGGCGCAUGUUAUUUUCGACGAAACAGCCGUAGUGACAAUGGUCGGUGUUGUCACCGAUGGCAAUGAUUUGCUACAACACCGGAGUUUCGAGUACUUUUUGCACUUUGGACAUCCGAGAUUAUCAGCACGGCGAUCGAUGCUGCACGGAUAUCAUGAAAGCAAGGAGGGCCGCCGCCGCCGCCGCCGCCGCCGCGUCGCCUUCAUGGAGGAACGCGAAGAGGACGACGAGCGGCGUCGAGAGGACGAAGAUGAGAAGUAGAUGAGGACCCGCCACGCCGCGCCGCACCGCACCGCGUCACGGGCUUUCACAAUGUUCCCGUUUCGCGCCGUCAAGCGGUGCGCGUGCAUCCUCGGAGACGGCGAAGUAUCGCGCUGCGGAUCGUUAAACGACAGACGAUUUCGCGUCGCACGGACGUUACUCGACAGGAGACACGAUGAGCAUCAUCGUUGUGAGUGAUCGUUCUUACGUUCCUUUGUGCGAGUGAAUCACUGAGAAAACAAGCGAAGAAAAAAAAAGAAAAAGAAAAGAAAACGAAACCGGACCAAGAGAGGGAGUGAGUGCAUCAACGCAUUUGUGUGAAAUGGAUGGUACGCCAAGGAAAAGCGAAGCAGUGCUAAUAUAUGGAUGCCCAUGGGUGGAACUUGGCCGAAAUGUGCCAGCGCUACCAUCACGCUAUACCGGCGGCAGCGGCGGCGCAGAAUUCUUCGCCAGCUAGGGAUCACUCGACUGCCAUCGCGCAGGGCCUGUCAACCGCCGUGCACAUCGAUCAAACCAGUCCAUCUUAUUCUCACUAUACGAUGCUGGACAAUUAUGACAGGGGUGAGGUGACGCCACCACCGCCGGUGAGCGGUUACGGCGGCUCGCCCGGACUCCUGGCACUUCAUUCUUCGCUUUACGCGACUCCCACAUCGAGGGCUUACGACAUCGACUCCGGUAUCGACGGUAACGACAGCUCGAUGCCCAUCGAUACUCAAAUCAUCUCGAUACCGAGCAUGCUGAGCGGUCCGGCGGCACAGCAGCGGCUGGAGGACAUGCCGUGGCUCGCGGCUUCCGGCCCGUCGCUGGAAUACCAGCAGGGCAUCUCGCCGAUUCCCGCGGGAGUGAAGAUGUGCCAUCCCGGCGGCGGUAGCGCUCAGAGGAGCCUGAAGGAACAACGGAUACGUCGGCCGAUGAACGCGUUUAUGGUCUGGGCGAAGGUCGAGCGCAAGAAAUUGGCCGACGAGAAUCCGGAUCUCCACAAUGCCGAUCUCAGCAAGAUGCUCGGAAAGAAAUGGCGAGGGCUAACGCCGCAAGACAGAAGGCCGUACGUCGAGGAGGCCGAGCGCCUCCGCGUUAUACACAUGCAGGAGCAUCCGAAUUACAAGUACCGGCCGCGGCGUAGGAAGCACGCGAAACGGACACCCGGUGCACCGUCCUCGCCAACCUCGGCGACCAACACCGCGGGCAGCAGGUCCAACCCGGCGGGUCCGACGAUUCAUCAUUCCAUGUCCAAGAUGGACAGUUACCAAGGCAUACCUCAGAUCCCUUGGGGUGGCCACUCCCCGAUCUCAUCCCUUUAUCACCAGCAGCAGCAGCAAGGUAUUCAGGAGUACAAAUCGGAAAACAACUCGCUUUACGGCAGCCCUUACACGCCCAUUAUCCACACUCCGGACAUAUCUCCAGUGGCCAGUCCUGAGCCUGACGGCGACGGCGGGCAUCUACCGUCACAAAAUCCGGAUUCGGAACGGGAUCUGAUGGAGGGCACGUCGAAGCAGCACGGAGAUAUGACGGAUCAGGCGAAACGAUACACCUUCAUGAGCAGCGACAAUCAACUGCACACGGGUCACGCUAGUAACACUAGCAUAUCGUCCUGUCAGAAUUCCGGCGGUUAUACGGAUACUUUAACGUACAAAAAAUCCGUGGGCUAUUUGAACUUUGAAAGACAAUCCACGAGCAUAGCCGCGGUGGGCAUAGCGAACGGUAUGAUGGUGUCGUGCAACAAGUUGCGCUCCGGCUUCGACAACGUCGGUUCCGUCACGGGCACAUUUUAUCCGCCGGUCGCGUCGCCGCACGAUCAAUCGCUGCAACAUUACAGCAACACGCAAUCGUCCAAGAGCACGAACUAUUCGAUGCAGUCCACCGUCGAGAGCAAUUAUAAUCCGAUCCAGUGCAAUCGGCAGCAGUCCAUAGGAAUCCGCGGAGCCGCUGACAAUUGUUCCGGCGCAGUGACGCACCGGUAUCAAAUGCCGCACCAUCAAGAGUAUCAGACGGACGCGUCCUCCGGCAGUGCUCAGCAGCAACAGCAGCACACGAUCCUCGGCGGCCACAUCAAUCCCGUCAUGAGCGCCGAGGAUGAUCAGCAGCAGCAGCUGCAGCUGGAAAAGUAUUUCAAGUAUUCGCAUCCGACGAGCGUGGCACACUCGAGCUUGUCCUCGCAGAGUAUGCUGGACAGCAAUCAUAAUUACGCCAGCGAUCUGCGCUACUAUGGCGCACCGCCGCAGUCGCAACUGGACAUGCCGAAUUCGCAGUGCAUCGUCGACGAGGGCGGCAAGGACGCCCGUUGCUCCAACGUUGCGAUUGGUCACGCCAUGGAGCAGUAUCAUCCGAGCCUGGAAGUAUCCAAAUAUCCGGACCAUUCGACCUCGCAACAGCAUCCGCAAUCACAAUCGCAGCAGCAGCAGCAGCAGCAGCAGCAGCAGCAGCAGCAGCAGCAGAGCAUGGAGCAUGUGACCAAGGCCGACGACGAUUUCAGUGUUAUACUUGCGGACGUACGCAAGACCUGCUACAGUAGCUAGUGCCUUUUCUUUAAAGUGCACGGGACGAUCUGCGUGAUUCGACUUGGAUGUAUGCAUCCCCGUGCGGCGGACUCUUCCUUCGAUCGGAAAGAACGCUCGUGUACAUUUUACGUCAUCGCAUGGUUGGUGCUAUCUCGAAAUAUAUCAAAGCAUUUUUAUCUCUCCGUGAUAGAAGGUAUGUUUUUUUUUUCAUUAAUUUUGAAAAUAGUAUUUUAGUUUCGUAUGUUUUUACGAGCGAGAGAUAUUGUUCGCAACUCGAUUUUAUGCAAUUCUAGCACCGGCAAUUCCAGAGUUUAUUUUACAAGUUUUAUUUUCUAGAGAAUUUUAUCUAUGGCUGAGUAUCUCAUAUGUAUAAGCACGAUCUCUUAUGAAUUUCAGUUCAACUGAAAUUAUAUUCAUGCAAGUCAGUGGUGUACAAAUGUCGCCUGUCAAUGAGCUGCAAGUCAAGUUCUACGCUCGGCUGCUUAGAAGGAUGCGACAAUAGGUAGUGAGGGUCUAUCAAGGAAGUCGUGCCGGGUACAAUUCUCCUCAGCACCAUUAACACAUGCAUCUUCUAUUCACAGUACAGUACUUGCUGACUAAACGACAUCAAAUAUUGCUAGAUAUUGAUCGCAAACGUUUCGCAAACAUCGGAUUACAAGCGUAAGUAUACAUACGUAUUUCUUCUCGCUUAAGACAAUUUUUCUCUUAUUGUAAAUGCGAUGUGUUACAUGUACAAGUAACGUGAAGGAUUUCAGAGAGCAAUGGCUUAAAUGUUAAAUGGACAGAUUUUGCAGUCUUGUUCACAAUGGUACACUAGAUAUGUACUCUCUCAUUGAAACGUGCAAAGACAUUCUUUAUAAAUACUUACAGUAUUAAUACAAAUUGAUAAUAAUUCUUAUAAAGUCUCGCACGCGAUACUGCAAAUCUUGUAUAGACUGUACAAUUCUCGACUAUUAACACAGAUUUAUAUAUAUAUAUACAUUGUCUAGAUCGUCGUUAGAUAUUUAUCGUUAUUUGUGUCUCAGCAUACGUGCCUGCAUUAUGUACAAUUGGAACUUAUAAUGUACACACAUACAAUGUAUAAAUGGCAGCUUUACAAGUCUCAGUAUAAAAUUUUCUACAUACAUUUUGUCAAAGAAAUUAUUUCUAGACGAGAUAUAAAGUAAAACAUUUUUGUGCUUCGAGUGGAUUAUUUGUAACAUAUAUAAUUCGUAUGAAAAAUAUUCUAAGUAAAAAUUACCGGGUAUAUAAACUGGAAUGAUUUCGUUUAUCAUAGAUGUAAAAAACAUAACAAUCGGGAAUGUUAGAUAAACUCAGUGAAAGUGAAAGAAACAUCUGUGGUAAUUUUUUGGAACAUAUAAUAGUUAAUCAUAAGAACGUUCUAUAUGUUCCAAAAAAUUAUCGCAGAUACUUUUUAAAUAUAUUUACAGAUAUUUCUUAUCCGGAAGUAGUUUUGUAUCCUUUUUAAUUUGCUAUAGGAAAGUACAUUCUAAAUUCUGCAAAAGUAGAAUUAAAAACGAUAUUUUAAAUUAAAAUAUUUUAAUACAAAUGUUGGAAUGUAUUGAGCUAUGAUUCCCAUAUAAGUUAAACAAAAAAAUUAUAAAUGUUACAAAUAUCCACUCAAUAAAAUAUAUGUGUGUGUGUGUAUAUAUGUGUGUGUAUGUGUGUGUGUAAAUUAUAUUUGAUAAAAUCUUUCUAUAAACAAGAAAUGGGUGAACUUUUUAAACAUUUAGUUGUGAAUUGUUCUGAAUUGAAUUGUUCAUAAGAAUUAAAUACAACUCCUUAAUAUAAUCUCCUUUAAAACUUAAUUCAUUAUUAUUAUGUUUUCAGAAUCUCCAGCAUUUGUAUAAAUCUAAUAUAAUCUUGUAACAAUAUAUUAAUUUUCUUUGGCUUCAAUUACGUAUAUAAUUGAAAACAAGUAUUGAAAUGAAACAAGAUAAUUUCGCUAUUCCAACAUAUAUCCAGAUUUAUAUUAAUAUUUAUAAAACAUGUAAAUUUUAAUCAAUUUAUCACAAAAUGUCUAAAAUUAUUUUAAUG